GACGAACGCUGGCGGCGUGCCUAACACAUGCAAGUCGAACGAGGUCCAGGGAAGCUUGCUUCCUGAAGACCUAGUGGCGAACGGGUGAGUAACACGUGAGAAACCUGCCUCGGAGUGGGGAAUAACUCGGGGAAACUCGAGCUAAUACCGCAUACCUUCACAUGAUCGCAUGGUCGAGUGAAGAAAGAAUUUCGCUCUGAGAGGGUCUCGCGGCCUAUCAGCUUGUUGGUGGGGUAACGGCCUACCAAGGCAACGACGGGUAGCUGGUUUGAGAGAACGAUCAGCCACACUGGGACUGAGACACGGCCCAGACUCCUACGGGAGGCAGCAGUGGGGAAUCUUGCGCAAUGGGCGAAAGCCUGACGCAGCAACGCCGCGUGCGGGAUGACGGCCUUCGUGGUUGUAAACCGCUUUCAGCAGGACGAAAUAGACGGUACCUGCAGAGAAGCCCCGGCUAACUACGUGCCAGCAGCCGCGGUAAU
rnacentral:rRNA from 1 species